UGACGCUGGCGGCGUGCCUAACACAUGCAAGUCGAACGGGGUUAAGGUGAUGUUUCGGAUGGAUCUUAACGUUAGUGGCGGACGGGUGAGUAACGCGUGGAUAACCUGCCUCACACAGGGGGAUAGCAGCUGGAAACGGCUGGUAAUACCGCAUAGGACCACGGUGCCGCAUGGCACAGGGGUAAAAGAUUUAUCGGUGUGAGAUGGAUCCGCGUCUGAUUAGCCAGUUGGCCGGGGUAACGGCCCAACCAAAGCGACGAUCAGUAGCCGGCCUGAGAGGGUGAACGGCCACAUUGGGACUGAGACACGGCCCAAACUCCUACGGGAGGCAGCAGUGGGAAUAUUGCACAAUGGGCGCAAGCCUGAUGCAGCAACGCCGCGUGAGUGAAGAAGUAUUUCGGUAUGUAAAGCUCUAUCGGCAGGGAAGAAAGGCCCGCAAGGGAGAUGACGGUACCUGACUAAGAAGCCCCGGCUAACUACGUGCCAGCCGCUGC
rnacentral:rRNA from 1 species